rnacentral:rRNA from 1 species
AUUGAACGCUGGCGGAAUGCUUUACACAUGCAAGUCGAGCGGCAGCGCGGGGCAACCUGGCGGCGAGCGGCGAACGGGUGAGUAAUGCAUCGGAACAUGUCCAUGUCGUGGGGGAUAGCCCGGCGAAAGCCGGAUUAAUACCGCAUACGCCCGAGAGGGGAAAGUGGGGGACCGCAAGGCCUCACGCGAUUGGGUUGGCCGAUGUCCGAGUAGCUUGUUGGUGAGGUAAAGGCUUACCAAGGCGAGGAUCGGUAGCUGGUCUGAGAGGAUGAUCAACCACACUGGGGCUUAGACACAGCCCGGACUCCAACGGGAGGGAGCAGUGGGGAAUUUUGGACAAUGGGGGCAACCCUGAUCAAGCCAUUCCACGUGAGUGAAGAAGGCCUUCGGGUUGUAAAGCUCUGUUGUCCGGAGCAAAACGGUAACGGUGAAUAUCCGUGACUACUGACGGUACCGGAAGAAUAAGCACCGGCUAACUACGUGCCAGCCGCCGCCGCAGUAA